UGUAAGCGUAUACCAAAGUUGUUGCAGUUAAAACGCUCGUAGUCGGAAUUUGGCAGUUCCGGAUGUGUGCACGUCGUGUGCGCACUUCGCGGGGAUUGCUUUUGUGGUCUUGCGUAGGAUGAGGCACUUUUAUUAGUGAACGUCCUCACGCAACCACUUUUUACUGUGAGAAAAUCAGAGUGCUCAAAGCAGGCAUUUGCCGUGAAUGUAUUAGCAUGGAAUAAUAGAAUAGGACUUGGUUCUAUUUUGUUGGUUUGUUGGGACUGAGUAAUGAUUAAGAGGGACAGUUGGGGGCAUUUGUAUUUCGGUGCUAGAGGUGAAAUUCUUAGAUUACCGAAAGACAAACUGCAGCGAAAGCGUCUGCCAAGGAUGUUUUCAUUGA
rnacentral:rRNA from 1 species